rnacentral:rRNA from 1 species
GAUGAACGCUGGCGGCGUGCCUAAUACAUGCAAGUCGAGCGAACAGACGAGGAGCUUGCUCCUCUGACGUUAGCGGCGGACGGGUGAGUAACACGUGGAUAACCUACCUAUAAGACUGGGAUAACUUCGGGAAACCGGAGCUAAUACCGGAUAAUAUAUUGAACCGCGUGGUUCAAUAGUGAAAGACGGUUUUGCUGUCACUUAUAGAUGGAUCCGCGCCGCAUUAGCUAGUUGGUAAGGUAACGGCUUACCAAGGCAACGAUGCGUAGCCGACCUGAGAGGGUGAUCGGCCACACUGGAACUGAGACACGGUCCAGACUCCUACGGGAGGCAGCAGUAGGGAAUCUUCCGCAAUGGGCGAAGGCCUGACGGAGCAACGCCGCGUGAGUGAUGAAGGUCUUCGGAUCGUAAAACUCUGUUAUUAGGGAAGAACAAAUGUGUAAGUAACUAUGCACGUCUUGACGGUACCUAAUCAGAAAGCCACGGCUAACUACGUG